rnacentral:rRNA from 1 species
UACGAAGGGGGCUAGCGUUGCUCGGAUUUACUGGGCGUAAAGGGCGCGUAGGCGGACAGUUUAGUCAGAGGUGAAAGCCCAGGGCUCAACCUUGGAAUUGCCUUUGAUACUGGCUGUCUUGAGUACGGGAGAGGUGAGUGGAACUCCGAGUGUAGAGGUGAAAUUCGUAGAUAUUCGGAAGAACACCGGUGGCGAAGGCGGCUCACUGGCUCGUAACUGCCGCUCAUGCACGACAGCGUGGGGAUCAAACAGG